UUCCGGUUGAUCCUGCCGGAGGAUACUGCUAUUCGGUUUCGACUAAAACAUGCAAGUCGAGAGUCUUCGGGACUCGGCGAACUGCUCAGUAAUAGGUGGUCAAUCUACCCUAAGGUUGGGGAUAAUCUCGGGAAACUGAGGCUAAUAUCCAAUAUUCGUUAAUGCCUGGAAUGGUUUAACGUUAAAAGUUCCGACGCCCUAGGAUGGGACCGCCUCUCAUCAGCCUGUUGGGGGUGUAAUGGACCUCCAAAGCUAUAACGGGUACGGGUCAUGAAAGUGAGAGCCCGGAGAUGGAUUCUGAGACAUAAAUCCAGGUCCUACGGGAUGCAGCAGUUGCGAAACCUUCACAAUGCACCAACGUGUGAUGAGGGAAGCCGGAGUGUCUAUGCUCUGCAUAGACUUUUGUCGAGUUCAAACAGCUCGGCGAAUAAGGGGUGGGUAAGACGGGUGCCAGCCGCCGCGGUAAUACCCGCGCCCCAAGUAGUAUCCGUAAUUAUUGGGUCUAAAGCGUCCGUAGCCGGUUUUGUAAGUCUUCAGUGAAAUCUCGUAGCAAACUAUGAGGCUUGCUGAGGAUACUGCAGAACUUGGGACCGGGAGAGGGUAGGGGUACUCCCAGGGGAGGGGUUAAAUCCUAUAAUCCUGGGCGGACCACCUGUGGCGAAGGCGCCUACCUAGAACGGGUCCGACGGUGAGGGACGAAACCUAGGGGAGCAAACGGGAUUAGAUACCCCGGUAGUCCUAGGCGUAAACGAUGCCCGCUUGGUGUUACAGGCCUUUUGGGGGCCUGUAGUGCCG
rnacentral:rRNA from 1 species